CCUACGGGAGGCAGCAGUGGGGAAUAUUGCACAAUGGGGGAAACCCUGAUGCAGCAACGCCGCGUGAAGGAAGACGGUUUUCGGAUUGUAAACUUCUGUUCUUAGUGAAGAAUACUUACGGUAGCUAAGGAUCAAGACACGGCUAACUACGUGCCAGCAGCCGCGGUAAAACGUAGGUGGCAAGCGUUGUCCGGAAUUACUGGGUGUAAAGGGAGCGCAGGCGGGAAUCCAAGUCAGCUGUGAAAACUACGGGCUUAACUUGUCGACUGCAGUUGAAACUGGUUUUCUUGAGUGAAGUAGAGGGUGGCAGAAUUCCGAGUGUAGCGGUGAAAUGCGUAGAGAUGCGGAGGAACACCGGAGGCGAAGGCGGCCAACUGGGCUUGAACUGACGCUGAGGCGCGAAAGUGUGGGGAGCAAACAGGAUUAGAUACCCUGGUAGUC
rnacentral:rRNA from 1 species